CGCCGAGCCAGUGGCAGUGGCCAUUGAGCCUCGAGUGUGUGAAGACGCUGUGUGGCGUUAACCCUGUUAACGUAUUUUUUGUUCCACAAAAAUAAUAUAUUAAAGAGUAAUCCCUCCUCUCGACACGCGCCUGUGCCACCCACACCCCCGAGCGGCCCUCCCCUGUAAAAAUAGUCCCACGCGUGUGUGCCCCACACCCUCCCUCCCUCCCUUCGCCCCGCAAAAGCGUGAAAAAAACCUCUCCCCCUGACUACGUCUAAACAAAGAAGAAAGAGAGAGAGAAAAACUAUUCGUGAAGACAAAGACGAUUUAUCUAAAAAAAAAAAUCUGUGAUUUUGUGACAAAGGAUAGAAAAAAAAAGUGAUUAUUACAGUGUGUGUCAUUGCAAUUACGUUGUGUAAUUGAGAACUGGCGUCAUAAAGCACAAGGGGAUAGAGUAGAAGAGGGCUUACAGUGUCAAUCAACGUCCGCCCCCCUCGUGAAGCUCAAAAAGCGACAUUUUUUCACUGUAAACUGAAGACAAAUGAAAUUUUGAGAGAGAAAAAAAAAUCACUAGACCUUGUACGUGCGUCUUAACAUGUCACACCAUUGUUCACAGAGUUGACCUAACCUCAAGAACACCAGGGAGUUGAUAAAAUAAUCUCUCCAUCCCCCAAAAUUCGAUUAUCAACGUUAAAAUCCCCAGAUCUGGCGAUCUAGUUUAUUUUUACGUUUUCUAGUGAUUUUAUUGUUGUAAAUGGUUUAUCGGUUGUCAGUACAAUUGGAUAGUGCUGAUGUUGGUAUUGAACUGUGAGAAAAGUGGAGUAUCGAUUGGGAAGUUUUAAUUUUUGGGCCUUAUCGUGGAAACUUUGGGGAUUAUACGGAUUUUUUUUUGAGGUUUAAGAGUGGUUUUCGUCGUUUUAUUGGGGGUAAGGGGGUUUAUUAAGGGGUAAUAACCAUUGAUGGCAGUAGUGGGGCCUAGCCGGCACUCCCGGGUGUCCAUGAGUGUGUCCAUGUCGCUUAUGCAGGGGGGUGGGGCCGGUACAACUGGCGGGGGAUCAACUGGGACUCAUCCUGGACAAGCUGUACUUGCGGCUGCGGCUGCUGCUGCCGCUGCUGCUGCAGCACAAACGCCACAGAAUUAUUAUCAUCCAGCUGCACCAGCACCACCACCACCACCGCCAACUCAGGAUCCUGUUCAACCGGACAGGCCCAUUGGGUAUGGGGCCUUUGGGGUAGUCUGGGCGGUCACUGAUCCCAGGGAUGGCCGAAGGGUGGCCCUUAAAAAAUUACCAAAUGUCUUUCAGAGUCUCGUAAGCAGUAAGAGGGUCUUCAGGGAGCUGAAGAUGCUCUGCUUCUUCAAACACGAAAAUGUUCUCUCAGCACUGGAUAUCCUGCAGCCACCGCACCUCGACUUCUUCCAAGAAAUAUACGUGAUAACAGAACUCCUACAGAGUGACUUGCACAAGAUCAUCGUGAGCCCUCAGCCACUAAGUCCCGACCACAUUAAGGUCUUCCUGUACCAAAUAUUGAGGGGGCUGAAGUAUCUGCACUCAGCGAGGAUCCUCCACAGGGACAUCAAGCCUGGGAAUCUAUUAGUCAACAGCAAUUGCGUUCUCAAGAUCUGCGAUUUUGGCCUGGCGAGGGUUGAGGAGCCUGAUCAGAACAAACAUAUGACCCAGGAGGUGGUGACACAGUAUUAUCGUGCACCGGAGAUUCUAAUGGGUGCACGUCACUACACAGCUGCAGUGGACGUAUGGAGCGUUGGUUGCAUAUUCGGUGAACUUUUGCGCAGGCGAAUUCUAUUCCAGGCACAGAGUCCAGUCCAGCAGUUGGAGCUGAUAACGGAAUUACUGGGGACCCCGACCCUCGAGGACAUGAGGUACGCCUGCGAGGGGGCCCGAACGCACAUGUUGCGACGUGCACCCAAGCCAUCCUCACUGACAGCCCUCUACUCGUUGAGCAACCAGGCGACUCACGAGGCUGUACACUUACUCUGCCAGAUGCUCGUGUUCGACCCUGACAAGAGAAUCACUGUCGUCGAUGCACUGGCCCAUCCGUAUCUGGACGAAGGCAGACUGAGAUAUCACUCGUGCAUGUGCACGUGUUGUUACACAACGAGCGCUGGCAUGAGACAGUACACAUCUGACUUCGAACCAGCGACAUCACAUCCAUUCGAUGAUUUGUGGGAGAAAAAAUUGACGAGUGUGCAACAAGUGAAAGAGGAAAUGCACAAAUUCAUUGCAGAGCAGUUGAACACAUCACGUGUACCACUCUGCAUAAAUCCUCAGUCAGCUGCAUUUAAAAGUUUCGCGAGUUAGAGCAAGCCGUUGCCGCCAAGCCAGCAAUCUACGUGCGCCGCGUAUACGUACACAAUAACUACCAAACUACCCUGAAUGUGACUAUCUACUAGCUGCUCGGCUACCUACUAUCGUCUACUACCAUCUAAAGCCAAAAAAAAACUAGAAAAAAGAUGAAAAAAUUAAUGCCAAUUUUUUUGACGAUUUUGAGAGAAAAAUAUAAUGAAAAUACUAGAGUUUAUCAGCAAUAUGUCGUCCACGCAAGCCUCGCUCGCUGAGCUCAACAGUGGCGCAUCCCUCGGAAUUACCGCCCUCACCGCACCAGUGGGAGUGAUCCCACGCACCCGCACCUCCAACAAUCAUCAUUAAACACAACAAAAAAAAAUAAUUAAAACGAGCCAAGAGAGACAAUAGACUGCCGAGCACUUGUAGACUCGAUUUUUUUUUUCUCAAAAAAGGAAAAAAAAAUUCUCAAUUUUUAGUUUUAAAUGCGAGAAAAGAAUCUAGAUGAUUUCACGAACAGGAUUAUUUCUCAUGUAUGUACAUAGGCGUUUAUUAUAGAGGAUAACGAGACUGCGAGGGGAGGAGGGGUAGAUUAAUUACCGACAGCGAUUAGUACACCUCGUGGAGAAUUCCAAACGAGCAAAGAAAGCACUUUUUUUAGAAAUAGCGGAUUAUCUAGGAAGAUAUUGGAUGCUCGGGGGUCAAUAUGACCCCAUCAGAUAGAUCGGAAAAUUUCCGAUUUCAGGGUCUGGUUUUGAAUCCAUUUUGCACCAAGGGUUUGGUGGAUAAUGAGGAGAGUGAUCGCGAGAGGAGAAAAAAUGUUUUUGUGAAUGUUAAAACACCCCCUUAUUUGUCUUUCAAUAUCUGGAGAAGGGGAGGGGCUAAGGGACUUAUUUUUUUUUGCAAAUGAUCGGAAAUUUUCCUGGUUUUGAGAUGAAGAUUUUAUUUGAAUUGGACUGAACGUUAUCAAGAUAUAAGGGCGGAAGUGAUUAGGGAAAUUCUCCACUUGAGUGAAUGGGGGGGUAUUGAUAGUUAUGGCCAGUUUCUUUCAUUAAUCGGAGGGUAAUUGAUUAAUUGGAGGGGUUCUUUAGAGCAGGAGGGGACUGGCGGGGGCUCCAGGAUUUUUCCCCAGGGGGCUAGAGGAGGCAGAACGGGUGCCGAGAGGAAAAAUGGCGUUUUGGCUAGUGUAUCUAUUGUAUAGAAGAAAUAUUCGUAGUCUGGGGUCAUUAAAGGGUCUAGUUAUGUGCAAUUUCCAUGUGCAAAAUGGAAAAGGUCUUGGGAAAAUUGAAUAUCCGAUGAGAAAUGGAAAAUAGUGGGGCAGCAUUUUGAUUUUGUUGGAUUUAUCGAUUUUUCUGGGAAAAAUUUUGUCGAGUUAGAAGCGGCGGACCCUGGGGCUUAGAUCUGGGACAUUUCCUGGAUUAUUAUUUUCAAGUUAAUUAGUAAUUAUCGUUGCAAUUAGAGAGGAGAGAUGAUUUAGGAGGAAGUGGAUUCUUUUGAAUGUCAUGAGAUUAUUUAAAAUCAGUAAUUAACGACGAUAAUCCUCUACCAAAAAUAUCUCUUGACAUUUUUGCCUGAAAUCACAAACUCCUGAGAUAACAGCGAUAUUAACAAAUCGACAAAUUUUCCUCGACUGUUAUUCAUAAAGGUCAGUUAGAUGUAACACAACUGAAAUUCAUCGAGAUAAUAAAUAUGAACAGUCAUUCGUCGGGAUUUUUGAAUAUUAAUAAUCAUUCAGUCUUAACGUUUUCCACAAGUCACUGUUUCGAUACAAUUUUAAUGUCAUUGGCCUCGCGUUAUUUGUGUUUUUCAUUUAAUAAUUUAUAAUUGUACGGUAUUUGUUGUAUUUUCGUGGAAUAUUGCCAAUUAAUUAUUCCCCAAAUAGGACUAAUUCGUCAAAAUAACACAAACAGAAGCGAAAGCGUUAAAAUUGUGUGAAAUGUCUGACUCGAAAAAGCCCGAUUGAUCUAGUGAUUAUCAAAUCACAAAAAUCACAAAAUCAAAAAUCAAAUCACUUCACUCCUAAAUUAAUCACGUGUUUUAUAUGUCGCACUCGAGCAUAUCAACGAGGAAAAUCCCGAUUUUCCCAACGAAUUAUCCCCUCCGAAAAUGCGAUUCAGGGGAGUUCAUGACUCGAGCAGCUAGCUUAAGAGAUUUUUAGCAUUUUUUUCCUUUCCUCUGUUUUUUCCGCGGAAGAACAAUGUUAGAAAGGAGUUCCAGGUAUUUUUAAUUAAUUAAGACGGAUAUCUGUCCGGAAUUCAUCUUCCUUGUGUCAUCAUUCGUUCUGUCAUAUGUAAAUAAUCAUUGCACGUGUGUAAAUAGUUUUUAUCGGGGAGAAUUUUUAUUUUCGUUUUUGAUUGAACUUUGAGGGGAGGACUGGAGAGCUGCAAAUUUAAUUUGGGAUUUUUUAUUUAAUUGUUUACUACUUUUUGUUUGUCGAAAUUCAGUAGCGAAGGGGUAAACUAGAUGUCACUUUUAACUAGUGACCAGUUUUUGGUGAAUAUCUCGAAGACUAGGGCAAUUAGGAAAUUUUUUAUCAGGACCAUUUUUGUGGAGCGAAUGAAGCUCUACAACAAAUGUCAUGAGGAAGAUUUCGCCAUCUCUUUCAGAUCUUGAGAUAUUGCUCAAAAACUCGACUCAGAAAUGAGUCAAUCUAUCUCGUUUUACCAAUUCUCUCAAAAAACUUUAAAAUAUCAACAAACGCAAUACAUAUUCACAUUAAUUAUCGUGACUGAUGAGGCCAUUCUGCUCUUUGAAGUGAACUUCUAUAUUUGAAAAUCGGCCAUAAAUUUUCCAAAAGAUCUCCGGAACCUGACAAAAGCAAUCAAAAAUCGGACCAAAAAUUCUCUCAAAACCGUACGAAUUGAUAAAAUUCCUUCAUCAUUCGUUGGUAAUCACCUCUGUGUGAUGACAAAACCUGUAAAUAGUUUCAAUGCAGCCAGUAAGCAACAAAAAAUCGGGAACGCGUGCAGCAAAUCAUAAAGUCCCCAUAAACGACGAAAAAAAACGCAAUUUUAGCCGUUCCUGCCAAUAGACCCAGCAGAUCGCUGCCGAUUACUCUGUAAUUACCCACAGACUAAUCACGAAUGAAAUCAUUGAGUAGGGGAGGAUAUUCUCAUAAUGAAAAUCAGAAAGAACCGAUUGUGUAAUUAUAUGAGAAUUAAAUAAAUGAAAAAAAAAACUUAGAAUAGAAUUUAUUUCCAUUAGUGGCUUUGUACUUUCAAUUUUGUCAUUUUUCCUACUUAGGUGACAAAAUAAUCAUUAGAAUUGUGUAAUUAAUAUUGAAAAAUUAUCUCUCCGUUGAUUGAAGAGAAAAACAAAAAUUGAUUAUCGAUUUUUUCGUGAUUUUUACAUUUUUUGGAAGAAUAAAUGAAAAAUAAAAGGAGAAGGGACAAGAAUAUGGGGUUAAUAAUGACCCCAGUCGAUAGAUCGGAAAAUUUCCAUCAGAAUUUUCAGAAAACAGUCGUUUUGGCCCAGUGGUGCAGAAAAUACCACCAAAAUAAGAGUUGGUUGAAUUUAUCGUGUGGGCCCAUUUUUGGGCCCUACAACUGUCUUUCGGGGACCCCUGUUUCACUAGUCUCAGACCGUAGUGUAGAUGUUCCUGGAUUCGUCUGAGAAAUUUCACAAUUAGGGCCUUCUAAUCGUGAGGUUAUGGCCCUAAAUCAGGCCCUAAAAUUUUACUUUGUGGACGAGUGUAACAAAUGAUUUUUUUUCAACUUGCGAGGGAGCCAGAAGCGUAAAAUGAAACGAUUUUGAAUGAAAAAUUAGUUGAAAGUGUACAGGAUGUGAUUUGCUACUCGUUAUGACUCCUUCAGCUAUUAAAAAUCACGAAAAAUCGAUCGAUAAUUGAUAUAACUCCAGAGAUAAUGACAAUUUGCCUUGAUUAUGGAACGUGGAGCACUGAUCCCACCCCAGAAAUUCCAAAUCCUGUGAAAAACCCCAGAAAAUUCCCAGGGAUGGAUAAGAAUGACGAGAUAGUAAUUAAUGGAUGAAAGAAUUGAUUAAUUGAUGGAGAAAAUUGAGGGCCCAAUAAGGAGUUUAAAUUGGUUAAUUAAUUACUUAUCAUUAAUCGAUAGUUACUGAUGAUUGAUUGAGGCUUGUCACUACAUUACUCAGUAAAAGAGAUUCACAACCGCUGAUUAUCGUUCGACACUUGUUAAUUGUCGAUGAAUCCUCGUUAAUUAAGGAAUUUAUCAAUUAAUGAAGUUGAUUAAUCAAUCAAUAUCUUGGGAGUAGAAAUGAUUCUAGGAACUGGGGAGUUAUGGUGUACCCCACAAAAUCCCAGUGAGAAAGACAAAAUAUUAAUGAAAAAUCAUAAAAUUGAUUAAAGAAUUAAUUAAUUAAUUAAGAGGGAAAAAAUAAUUAAAAACAAAUGAUGUCGCUUCCUGAGUAGUGAAAAGAAAAAUUCGUAGAAAUUUUUGCCAGUGGAUAAUUAAUAAUUAAGAGUAAACAGUGUGAUGACCUGUCGUUAGUAACUAAGAGGCCUUAAUUAUCACAUUUUAAUUAAUGAAUAAUGGAAAAAAAAAACAAAAUAAUUGAACUAAAUGGUGACAAAAAAAAUAAAGUAGUAAAACACAGAAAAUACAAAAUGUAGUGAAGAGUUGAUCGGGAGAGAGCAAUGGCGACCGAUGAGAUAUAGAUAUGUACAUUGUAAGAUAUAAGAGGGUGAUAAACAUUCAUGUAAAUAAAUCUUUGCACUUGAACACAAGGAAUAAUUAAUUAAUUGAGGAACUUUUAAUUAAGCCACAAGUGAUUAUUUCCUCCAUCACUGCCAGUACCAGAAGUGACUGGAAUUAUUUCCGAAUUUUUUCUGUAGUUAAUUAACUCGAUGAGAGAAGACACUGGGAUCCUCUUUCGAUUUUAAUCGAUUUCUCGAUUUUUUUUUUUCAGUCGAUUAGUCGCAGCCGAACAAUCGAUAUUGUGAUCGAAAAAUCGAGGUCAUGGUUGAGGAAAUGACAUCACAGUCGAGUAAUGGCUUGUAAAAAUCGAUUUUUCCAAAUCGUUUAUAGAUGAAAAUCAUCGAUUACCAUUGAUCGAUUAAAACCCAGGAAUGGAGUGAUUGAAAAAUCGAUUCAAAUAGAUGAAAAUCGAAAUGAUGGACCAUUUGAAACCGAAUAAAUUCUCAACUUCUCUCCCUCACAAGAAAAAAAUGUAAAUACUCCGAUUUUCAUCGACUAGAAAUAUUGUAUAGCCAAAAAGACACGACUGUAAAUACCUAUGUGUUGUAAAUUUUUCGAAAUGAAAAAGUGAUAGAAGUUUUCGAUGUUGAAGAAGCAAAAGUCUGUACCAAUCGAUGAAUCAAUUAAAUUCCAUCGAAUCGACGAUAACGAACUGAUGCAUUAUCCCAUCGAAUAAAGUUUAUUGAUUGAUCGACCCGCUCCGGACUGCGACUUUAAUCACCUAAAUCUCUCAAAAAUAAAAAAAUUUGAUGAAAAAAAAAACACUAAUCUGUAGGUACUAAUUAACAAUUUAAUAUUAUCUGUGUGUGGUCGAAUGUUUUCGAAGAUAAAAAAAUAAAAAAAAUACAUAAACAGAAA